UACGUAGGCAGCAAGCGUUGUUCGGAAUUACUGGGCGUAAAGGGUGCGUAGGCGGCUUUUUAAGUUUGGUGUGAAAUCUCCCGGCUCAACUGGGAGGGUGCGCCGAAUACUGAGAAGCUAGAGUGUGGGAGAGGAAAGUGGAAUUCCUGGUGUAGCGGUGAAAUGCGUAGAUAUCAGGAGGAACACCGGUGGUGUAAACGGCUUCUGGACCAUAACUGACGCUGAGGCACGAAAGCGUGGUAGCAACAGG
rnacentral:rRNA from 1 species